rnacentral:misc_RNA from 1 species
GAUGAAGAACGUAGCGAAAUGCGAUAAGUAGUGUGAAUUGCAGAAUUCAGUGAAUCAUCGAAUCUUUGAACGCACAUUGCGCCCCUUGGUAUUCCAUGGGGCAUGCCUGUUCGAGCGUCAUUUGUACCUUCAAGCUCUGCUUGGUGUUGGGCGUCUUGUCUCUAGCUUUGCUGGAGACUCGCCUUAAAGUAAUUGGCAGCCGGCCUACUGGUUUCGGAGCGCAGCACAAGUCGCACUCUCUAUCAGCAAAGGUCUAGCAUCCAUUAAGCCUUUUUUUCAACUUUUGACCUCGGAUCAGGUAGGGAUACCCGCUGAACUUAAGCAUAUCAAUAAGCGGAGGA